rnacentral:rRNA from 1 species
UACGAAGGGUGCAAACGUUGCUCGGAAUUAUUGGGCGUAAAGCGCACGUAGGCGGUCUGUCGCGUCUGCUGUGAAAACUCAGGGCUUAACCCUGAGCUUGCAGUGGGUACGGGCAGACUAGAGUGCGGUAGGGGAGACUGGAAUUCCUGGUGUAGCGGUGAAAUGCGCAGAUAUCAGGAGGAACACCGGUGGCGAAGGCGGGUCUCUGGGUCGUAACUGACGCUGAGGAGCGAAAGCAUGGGGAGCGAACAGG